CCGAACCGACUAAUGUUGAAAAAUUAGCGGAUGACCUGUGGCUGGGGGUGAAAGGCCAAUCAAACCGGGAGAUAGCUGGUUCUCCCCGAAAGCUAUUUAGGUAGCGCCUCGUGAAUUCAUCUCCGGGGGUAGAGCACUGUUUCGGCUAGGGGGCCAUCCCGGCUUACCAACCCGAUGCAAACUGCGAAUACCGGAGAAUGUUAUCACGGGAGACACACGGCGGGUGCUAACGUCCGUCGUGAAGAGGGAAACAACCCAGACCGCCAGCUAAGGUCCCAAAGUCAUGGUUAAGUGGGAAACGAUGUGGGAAGGCCCAGACAGCCAGGAUGUUGGCUUAGAAGCAGCCAUCAUUUAAAGAAAGCGUAAUAGCUCACUGGUCGAGUCGGCCUGCGCGGAAGAUGUAACGGGGCUAAACCAUGCACCGAAGCUG
rnacentral:rRNA from 2 species